rnacentral:rRNA from 1 species
UACGGAGGGUGCGAGCGUUGUCCGGAAUCAUUGGGCGUAAAGGGCGCGUAGGUGGCGGGACAAGCGUGCGGUGAAAGCCUGGGGCUCAACCCCGGGUCGGCCGUGCGAACUGUUUUGCUUGAGCACUGUAGAGGCAGGCGGAAUUCCGGGUGUAGCGGUGGAAUGCGUAGAGAUCCGGAAGAACACCGGUGGCGAAGGCGGCCUGCUGGGCAGUAGCUGACACUGAGGCGCGACAGCGUGGGGAGCAACAGG